UAGGGAAUCUUGCGCAAUGGGCGAAAGCCUGACGCAGCCAUGCCGCGUGAAUGAUGAAGGUCUUAGGAUUGUAAAAUUCUUUCACCGGGGAAGAUAAUGACGGUACCCGGAGAAGAAGCCCCGGCUAACUUCGUGCCAGCAGCCGCGGUAAUACGAAGGGGGCUAGCGUUGCUCGGAAUUACUGGGCGUAAAGGGCGCGUAGGCGGAUAUUUAAGUUGGGGGUGAAAGCCCGGGGCUCAACCUCGGAAUAGCCUUCAAUACUGGAUAUCUUGAGUUCGGGAGAGGUGAGUGGAAUGCCGAGUGUAGAGGUGAAAUUCGUAGAUAUUCGGCGGAACACCAGUGGCGAAGGCGACUCACUGGCCCGAUACUGACGCUGAGGCGCGAAGGCGUGGGGAGCAAACAGGAUUAGAUACCCUGGUAGUCCACGCCGUAAAACGAUGAGUGCUAGUUGUCGGCAUGCAUGCAUGUCGGUGACGCAGCUAACGCAUUAAGCACUCCGCCUGGGGAGUACGGUCGCAAGAUUAAAAACUCAAAGGAAUUGAC
rnacentral:rRNA from 1 species